rnacentral:SRP_RNA from 1 species
GCUUAACAUGGUGGCAAAUGUUUUUAAUCCCAGCUGCCUAGGAAGUUGAGGCUGGUGGAUCUCUUGAGUUCCAUAGUUCUGAUCUCCAGUGGGCUUUGUCGAUCAGGUCUCCACACUAAGUUUGGCAUUAAUAUGGUGAACCUUCAAGAAGGGAGUUGGGGCUGUGGAACCAGGUUGUCUAAGAAGGGGCACAUUAUCCCAGGUCAGAAGUCGAGUAGCUCAAAGCUCCCAUUCUAAUCAGUAGGGGUAUCAAGCUCGUGAGAAGCCCCUGCAUUUCCACUUGGGUAAGAUAAGAGGACCUACUCCU